GUCAUUCCUCUGAGAUUUCCACUGGUCUCUGCAGCACAGAGCUGACUCCUGAAUUACCCAGUCCGGCCCAUUAUUGCCUUAAUUGGGCUAAUUUAAUUUCUUCCCUGGCAGUUCUUGAUCUCUGACAGAAAGUGGCUGCUGUGAGAGGCCAUGUUGGCUCCACAGAGACCCAGAAGAGCCAGGCAGCCUGUGCAGACAGGAACUCCGGGCCCGGAGACCCUGCAGAGCCAGCCGCAAACACACUGCAAUUAACCACCAUUAACCACAAACACACCACCAUUGACUGGCAUCAACCAGGAACCAGGAGACUGCCGCAUGGCUCGGUCCAUCAGGGACUAACCACAAUUAAAUACUAUUAACUGCAGAUCAUGUCCCCAGGCAGCAAGCGUCCAUCCCGAGCAAUGACGCCCUCUCUGUAGAUAUCCUGGAUGAGGAUGCGAACCAGGGGGGUCUCAUUGCCGCCGACGAUGCUGAUGGCCAGCGGCUCUGAGGGAUCCGCCCGCGUGAUCUUAAUACUGCUUCUCUACCUCUGUGCCUGUCUUUGUGAGCCGGGGCAGCUUCUUCCUGUGCCUCAGGCUGGCUGCCUGGUCAUCUCAGCUGCAGAGGCAAGCGGGCCAGUUGCCAGAGGUUGAAGACGGAGCGGAGGAGGAGGAAGAAGCAGCAGCAGCAGCAGGAGGAGCAGCAGGAGCAGGUGCAGAGGAGAAGUCCCGUUGUGGCACAGGAGGAAGAGGAGAAAGUGCAAGAAGAAGAGGAAGGAGACCCAUGCAAAGGUGGCACAUUUGGAAUACAAUUUGAGAUGUGCAGCCCCUUAAUCUGCUCUGGGCACUGGCGAGUUGUAAGAGGAUUUGCGCUCGUAUGCGUGUGUGUGCAUGUCUGUCUACCCGUCGGUGUGUGUGUGUGCGUGCGCGUGUGUAUGUCAGAGAGAACGGCGCAGGCUGUGACUUAUACUGCAGCAGAAACCACUGAGGGGGUGGGGG